CAGCAGCCGCGGGAAUACGUAGGGGGCUAGCGUUGCUCGGAAUUACUGGGCGUAAAGGGAGCGUAGGCGGACAUUUAAGUCAGGGGUGAAAUCCUAGAGCUCAACUCUGGAACUGCCUUUGAUACUGGGUGUCUUGAGUGUGAUAGAGGUAUGUGGAACUCCGAGUGUAGAGGUGAAAUUCGUAGAUAUUCGGAAGAACACCAGUGGCGAAGGCGACAUACUGGAUCAUUACUGACGCUGAGGCUCGAAAGCGUGGGGAGCAAACAGGAUUAGAUACCCGCGUAGUCCCUGUCUCUUAUAC
rnacentral:rRNA from 1 species